AUUGAACGCUGGCGGCAUGCCUUACACAUGCAAGUCGAACGGUAACAGGUCUUCGGAUGCUGACGAGUGGCGAACGGGUGAGUAAUACAUCGGAACGUGCCUAGUAGUGGGGGAUAACUACUCGAAAGAGUGGCUAAUACCGCAUGAGAUCUACGGAUGAAAGCAGGGGAUCGCAAGACCUUGUGCUACUAGAGCGGCCGAUGGCAGAUUAGGUAGUUGGUGGGAUAAAAGCUUACCAAGCCGACGAUCUGUAGCUGGUCUGAGAGGACGAUCAGCCACACUGGACUGAGAAACGGCCCAGACUCCUACGGGAGGCAGCAGUGGGGAAUUUUGGACAAUGGGCGCAAGCCUGAUCCAGCAAUGCCGCGUGCAGGAUGAAGGCCUUCGGGUUGUAAACUGCUUUUGUACGGAACGAAAAGCCCCGGGUUAAUACCCUGGGGUCAUGACGGUACCGUAAGAAUAAGCACCGGCUAACUACGUGUCAGCCGCCGCGGUAA
rnacentral:rRNA from 1 species